AACGUAGGUGACAAGCGUUAUCCGGAUUUACUGGGCGUAAAGGGCGCGUAGGCGGCCACCGCAAGUCGACUGUGAAAUCUCCGGGCUUAACCCGGAAAGGUCAGCCGAUACUGCGGGGCUAGAGUGCAGAAGGGGCAACUGGAAUUCUCGGUGUAGCGGUGAAAUGCGUAGAUAUCGAGAGGAACACCUGCGGCGAAGGCGGGUUGCUGGGCUGACACUGACGCUGAUGCGCGAAAGCCAGGGGAGCAAACGGG
rnacentral:rRNA from 1 species